AUGACAUUUUUAUUGCAGGUUUUGACCUUUAGGAGAGAGCCAAUUCUGGAGAACAACCUAACUUCUUUGAUUGAACAUUCACAUAAUGCAUUGGAACAUGAUAGGAGAUUAAGGUUUAAUGAUAGAAUGAAGACCAUAAUAGAACAGUUCCCCUACGUAGCCCAGCAAUUCUUAUGUUGUGGAUAUUACUAUCCUUUAUUCAUCGAAAACGUUUUAUUCUAA
rnacentral:lncRNA from 1 species